rnacentral:sRNA from 1 species
ACUAAAUCCCCAACCCCUCUUCUAGGUAUCUUAAUUCCCACAGUAACCCCGUAAGGUUGAGAUUGUUUUUGUUAAGUAAGCAACCAAAACUCAGACUUAUUUUAUCUGCAUGCCUGUGUACCAUGAGUUUUGUCUGGUACCUGCAAAGGCCAGAAAAGGGCAUUGGAUCCUCUGGAACUGGAAUUAGAUAAUUUUGAGUAGCUAUAUGGAUGUUAGGAAUUGAAUCUGGGUCCUCUGAAGAGUAGCUAGUGCUCCUAAUCACUGAAUCAUCUCGCCAGAGUCCUCCCCCAAGAAUAUUAAAUAUUAAAACUUGCACUAGGCCAAACUAACCAACAGUGAAAGUCAGACCUAUCCAUUCUAUUAACUCUGGCCAUACUAUUUGUUAAUGAGCAGGUGACCUGGAAGACAGAUCAGAAGGAAGCUUAAAGAGGCGAAGAUGGUAUAGACCAGACUAACAUGCCAGGGACAGACAGAAGGAAUGGAAAUUCAGUUUUGUGGCUUCAUCUACAAAACGCAUGCUACUCUGUAAUUCUGGUUCAAAGCCUGCUUUCCACACCAGUGAGCUCCAGCUCCUUCGCUGUGUCCAUGACUAGUUACUAAUGACAAGGGGUCACAAGCAGUGACAAUGAGGGCAGAGGGAAGAGUAUAUGGUUGAGAAGAUAUUUAACUGGAUGUGCGCUAGCUACAAGGAGACAUGAGGGUAUUUUAGGCCAAUCACUGGCUAAAAUACCAGUGUGCUCUGUACCUUAUUUAAUCCUGAGGAAAAUCUUAGGAGGGCCUGUCAUUCCCAGAAGAGGAGGUAUCAGAAUGAGGAUCUGAUACUGUGAACCUACACCUGACCCUAAAGCUUGUGCUUUUGUGUCCUCUUGCCUCUCCACUGUCUUCAUGAGUGGGAUAUGUAGGGGCAAGUAGUGGCUACUGACAGCUGAAGUACAGGCUUUAAUAAGGGACACAGGCUAGAGACAGAUUGAAGUGUGAACUUUGCAGUGGAGACAGCCAUACAAAGCAAGAGGGUAGGAAACAGUCCCUUGGCACAUGUGUGUUCACUACUGACGGAGUAGGGUUUAAAUACUAGAGAUUACUUCAGAGGAUAGGUCCCUUGGCACAUGUGUGUUCACUACUGAAGGAGUAGGGUUUAAAUACUAGAGAUUACUUCAGAGGAUAGGUCCCUUGGCACAUGUGUGUUCACUACUGAAGGAGUAGGGUUUAAAUACUAGAGAUUACUUCAGAGGAUAGGUUCUUGCAGCAGCUAUGGGCUGUAAGGGGACAUGAGGGGGGAAGGUAUCUGAAUGUCAUUUGUAUUUGUGACCUACAGGUGCGUACGUCAACACUUUCCAGGAUUUUCAGUGUCAAACACCUUGAGAAUGGACAUCCUUUUUCCAGCUCCUCAAAUUAAACACCUGCUCCAUUGUAAGCUGAGUGCCUGGAGGGAUUAGAGUUCGGAGCCGUUUUGUAGGGUGGGAAUUCAGGCUAAUCCAUGGUUUCACAAUAAUGAGAGGACUUCUAAACAUAAAACUGGGGCCUCCUGACAUUCAAGCACCGCAGUGCCUACAGAUUAAUAGCCAUGUUUAAUGUUUAUUUGUCCACGAAUUUAGGAGAGUGAAACAGUGAAACUGAAGUCUGAGGCAGUGCCCACAAUCUAAGAAGUAAAAUUAAAUGGCAGCCAA